GGAUUUGGAUACGGAAGCCUUGGUAUCCAAUUGUAGAAACAAAACUUCAUACAACGGAAGCAUUGGGUUUUAUGAUGUUGUGUAUAAUUACAAGGUUUAGUCAAGAGUUACUAACCAAACACACAAUUUUCAUCGAAAAAAGAAAGAAUACGGAAAAGAAAAAUAAUGGACUUAAUCAUCCAUUAGCGAUUAAGACUUUACUUUGUAAAGCAUCGUCAAUUUCACUUUUCAUGUUAUGUCAUUCUUAAUAUAUGGCGCAUAUAUUUGCAUAUGUAAUAAUUUGUCUUCCGGAAGUUUUGUAUAUUGACUUUGUAAUCAAUAUUUUGUAUAUUGUUUUUGUAACCGU
rnacentral:lncRNA from 1 species